ACAGAUCACAUUUCACUUUGUCACGGUAAGGUCACAACUCUUGACAUACUGACACAUUUUUUUGCAUUUACCAUAGUUUGACACCCAAUAGCCGAUGUAUUUUUCGUGCUGGGGUGUCGUUAAACAUUCAUUCAUUCGUUACAACUCUUGAAGACGGAAACAUACCAAUGUACCUAGGUUAUGUCAACCAUUACAGAGGUUACUGUCUUAAGAGUUCAGGCGUCGGGAGUUGGGGGAAGAAGGCAGGGGAAUCCUCCUCUCCUCCAGACACCAACCCAACUGUACAAUGAGCACUGGCUGUGGCUGUUGCUAUGGAACAGACGACAAAAACAGAGAAUUCAACAUCAAGAUGCAAAUAUUGUCAAAAUUAAUUUGAAAAUGUUACGUCAACUGUCAGACACAUAUUGGAGAUUCACCCAAAAGAGAAAAUAUCAAUUUUGAUACCAUCCAGUGACAUUUUAACACUGAAUUUCGAACGAGAACAUUUGAUGUAUGUAGAGAAAAUGUUUGAUGUGAUAUUAAGGAUGUAUAUUUUUAUGAAACUACCAAUAAACUAAACAUACCAGUAA